UGUAAGUGUUUAAAAAUUAGAGAUAGGUUUUGCCGGUUGUUGAUGAGUGAUGAAUACCAGCUGUGAAUUUUCUCAACGCGUGUAAGCAGCCACGACACAGGAAACCGAAACAGUGUUCCAAUAUAAAGUGAGGGUCCUUGACAGUGGCCGAACCCGCAUACUACACGAUAUAAUGAUUCCCCACCUCGGGAGCUAUAGGGAACGAAUUGAGACACAGCCCUGGAUGUAAUCACGUCUGUGCUGAUCACGUGCCUGUACACAAACCCGCAGCUCACUUGCAAAAGAUUAUCCGGUUAUUUAUUACACGUAAAGUAAACGUUUUUAAUGUUAUCAUGAAUCAAUGUUAUAGUUUUGUAUGUCACAUUAUUUUUUGAGAAGAGUCAUGACUGAACGCGGACCUUACACGCUGUUAUUUUUUUUGUGUGCGUAUGGCCAAGGUACAGUGCGCUCUUUUGCACUAUGACCAGCCAUCAGUAAAUCGAAAUACAGUAAAAAAAUGAGCGCGAAACCCUGACACUUUACAGAAAGGCACGGAUAUCCCCGCCCGAAGAAAAAAAGAACACAGGACAAUGGUUGCAAGUUAAACAGCUGAACAUUUCACCAUCUGCAAAGAACAUUUCACCAUCAACAUAUUAACAUAAACGGUUCUCUUUUUCUUGUUUGACUGCGUUUGGUACAGGUCACAACAACGACGGCAGAUGUAGAGACCACGCUUUCCCUUGCUUCCACUCCACGGCUGAUCAUGCUUGAGGAUCCAGAUCUACAAAACAAAAAAUGGAUGCUGCCGAUUGAAGGCUAAGUCCGAUUUCCUGCGAUUGACCUACCAUUUCUUCAGCAUUUGCUGUUCACUUUGGUUGCUACUACGUGCUCAACAUCGAGUACCAUGUGCAAGCAGCCACUACUUUGGAGUUUAUUCAGAGAUUUAUUGUGAGGAUCAGCCCCGACAACAGCAAGUGCUCCUCUAACUUCCAGGUGAGCAAAAGAAGUGGGAAGAUGGUGCAAAGGAAGAACUCUGGCCUGAACCAUCAUGUAUAUAUCCACCUUUAUUAAGGACUUUAUGAAUUAAGCAAAACUAUUAAGCAACUAAAGCAAAUACAUUCUACUCAACUCACCAGAGGUUUGUGAAGUUCUUUUUUUUCUUAAAGGUUUCUUUUAGUUAAUUUGUCCAUGCACUGAUUUAUAAUAUUGUAAUAUGAAACUCCAGUGUAUACAUGUUACUACUGUUGCUUCUAAAAGCAAAAUAAGUCUAUGCAGGAGAGGUUUUGUUACGUUUUUUUUUUUUAAUUAUUCUUAUAGACGGUUUCAUCGGACGCACAUGACACACGUCUGGAUCCGAUCCUUACUUCCGGUUUCGCUUUUUUAAUGGUCUGACUAGUUGCUAAACUGAUCUCUUGAACAAAAGCCUCGUUGAAAAUAACAAAUGUUUUGGUUUCCGAGCUAAUCUAUGUGUUGUUUUUUUGCUUGUUAUAUAAAUAAAAUGCGUUUAAAGAACUUUGUUGUUUUUUAUUCUUAGCGGAGUUUAUCGGAAGUUCAUGCGGACCGCGACAGCCGCUUGUUUAUGAUGUUACUGCUGAAACCGUCUAUAGUUAUAACUGAAUUUGUACUAGUAUUAUUUGAUAAUACUGUGAAAUGAAACAGUGAGUAAAUGUUACAUUGGCUUUGAAAAAGCUGUUGCUGCAAGAAAUUACAAUUUACUCAGAAUAAUAUUUUGAAUGUAUAAGUUUUUGACAUUGCUUAUGACUGCAUUUGAAUGUAUUGUUCAUGAAUUGAUGCUGUGAUAUGUGUGUGUAAAUGUUUUGUAUUUUACUCAGGAAAGUAUUUUGUAUUUGAACAUUGUUAUUAUGACUGAGUUAGUUCAUGACUUGAUUUAAAAUUCUGUAAUAUGAUAUCUAUGAGUAAAUGUUAUUGCAGGUUUAAGAAAAACAGUUUGUGAUGCAAGCUGAAAGUUCAGUGUGCAAAAAAUAUGAAAAUCUGAUUUCAUGUAUUUGAAAAACUAAAAGAAAUUUUAAAAA